rnacentral:rRNA from 1 species
GAUGAACGCUGGCGGCGUGCCUAAUACAUGCAAGUCGAGCGAACAGACGAGGAGCUUGCUCCUCUGACGUUAGCGGCGGACCGGUGAGUAACACGUGGAUAACCUACCUAUAAGACUGGGAUAACUUCGGGAAACCGGAGCUAAUCCCGGAUAAUAUAUUGAACCGCAUGGUUCAAUAGUGAAAGACGGUUUUGCUGUCACUUAUAGAUGGAUCCGCGCCGCAUUAGCUAGUUGGUAAGGUAACGGCUUACCAAGGCAACGAUGCGUAGACGACCUGAGAGGGUGAUCGGCCACACGGGAACUGAAACACGGUCCAGACGCCUACGGGAGGCAGCAGUAGGGAAUCUGCCGCAAUGGGCGAGAGCCUUACGGAGCAACGGCGCGUGAGUGAUGAAGGUCUUCGGAUCGUAAAACUCUGUUAUUAGUUAAGAACAAAUGUGUAAGUAACUAUGCACGUCUUGACGGUACUUAAUCAGAAAGCCACGGCUAACUACGUG